AGUAUCAAGGAAAUAGGGCGGGCGGAUUUUUUUUUUUCGCUCCGUCUUCCGUCCUGUUUGUUCGUCGUGGAAAGGAGAGAGGAAACAGGGUGGUGAGGGGAAUAAACGUAUUGUGUGUCGUUUGUGCAUAAAUACGAAAACACCAUGUCUGAUGAAGGAAAGCUUUUUGUUGGUGGACUCAACUUUGAUACAGAUGAGCAAUCACUGGAGCAACUGUUUUCUAAGUACGGAGAGGUUCGUGAUGUCCUUGUGAUCAAAGACAAAGACACACACAAAUCCAGAGGAUUCGGUUUUGUUACUUUUGAAAACCCUGAUGAUGCAAGAGAUGCCUUGGCCAUGAAUGGAAAGUCAGUCGACGGUCGGCAGAUUCGAGUAGACCAGGCAGGAAAAGGCUCUGGGGGGCGAUCACGGAAUUACCAAAGUGGGCAAUCACGAGGUUAUGGAUCCCGUGGUGGGAGAAGCAGCCGUGGAUUUUACAGAGAUGGUGACAGAAGUGGACGAAGCAAUUACAGAAAUGACUAUAAUAGGAGUCAAAAUUCUAGCAGUUAUGGCUAUAACAGUUCAGUUGGAAGGUCGUACCGGGAUGACUAUGAUAGUUAUGAAUGAGCAAAGCUGAAGUAAGAAGAUUGUUGUGUUUAAAAGUUUGGAGAGGAAGAGGUGAAAUCUCAUGAAAUGUAAUGCUGAUUCUUCUGUUUGAAAGAAAAGGAAGAAAAAAAGAAAAACAUUUUUAGCAUAGUUGCAGUUAAUGUUUUCAGGUAACUGGCCAAUACUUUUGUUGGAUUAAAUUGUUUGUGUCCAGCCUACAGUUUUCUCCUCCUAUUUCAUUAGACAUUAAAAUUGUGGAGAUGGCAUUCUUGAAAGCAUUAUAAUUAACAUAUUGAGUGCUCCAAGUCCCCACCAAAGUCUAAGAAAAAAAAAACUAUGCCAGUUGUUGCACAAUAUGCUGAUCUGAAGAGUUGUGUGUGUGUGCACACUGUUAAAUGAUGAACUUUUCCUUCAAUCUCUUAUGCACCAAAUUCUGUCCAAAAAUGUUCCAUCUCUAGCUGAGCACUACCAAACCAAUCCUGACUCUGCAUCACUGGUUACUUUAAGAAACAAUUAAAAUGUACUGUAAAUGAGGACUUGUACUGUAAAAAAAAAAAUUAUAGAAUGUACUUCAAAACUGUCAAUUAAAUGUUGUAGUUCUGUUGAAUGUGGUUAGUGUUUUUACUUAACAGUUAACUGGUCAAGACCCAUUUUUGUGCUUUACAAUUGAAAUAUCUACUGUGCUACAAAAAAAAAUCCUAUUUGCUGUCUAGAGUAAGACUGCUUUGGAUGGAUGGCAGAUGCUGACAGGACACUUAAAAGCUACAUUAUCUGAAUUGACAUUCAUUACACUAAAGAUUGUCCUUGCAGCAUUUCAUUUCCAAACUAUUUUAGCGCUAAGUAAUGAGUUACUGACUGAGUGGGAAUUGCUAGUUGCAGUAACUCAGCCAUCAUAAAAAUCACAUCAUUGGCAGGUGGCAACUUUGGUCAGUUGAACAAUGUUUUAACUGAUAAUUAACACUAUGCAUGUGCAUAUGCAUAAUGAAACAUUUCUAAAAUGAAUUGGUUACAUAUGAGCACUUUGUAGAUAAGAUGAAUGGAGCCUGUUCUGCUUUUGAAAUAGAGUAUUUGCAGUUAAAAGGUACUUUGCCAUUUGGUUUCCUGAAAGUGACGUUGCUCACUUGUUACCCACAAAUAGGAUAGUGCUGCUCUUUAUAAAGGCAGAAAAGUCAUUUUGCGAUUCAAUAAUAAAUUAGUGUCAUCACCAUAUUAGGUCACGCUCCUCUGCUUUUGUGUUAUCUCUGAACUGCAAGUAUUUUUUUAAAGCAUCAUCCUUGGUUUUGGCUUUUCCAUUCUCUUUGCUCCUGCUGUAUCACUAUAACAUACAACAAUCUCAAACUCUUAAUGUUUGCUAGUAUUCAGAUGUAACUGAGUAAAGUAGGGUAAAAGUGUAGUUGGAAUUGAACGCUUUAUGCUGAAUUAUCAAGAAAUGUAACUUCCUGGAAACAUUUUACACAAGGUUGUGUGGGGGUUUUGAACUGGAUUAGAAAAGUUAUGUAAAUUUUAAUCUCCAUUGUAAAGAUUCUUAAACAGAAGCUAAUCCUUUACUGACUGAAGACUUUAUUUUAGACCUGUAAAUAAUUCUAUGCAAGGGCCAGACACAAGGUUUGCUCCAAAGAGAUAAUUGAAUUAGUUGUGAUAGUAAGGAAAUACAUUUUACUUAGUUUCUAAUAUGGCCAUGUGGCAAAAGUAAAUGAACCACCUGAUGUCUAGUAGAUGCCUUAAUUGUCUAUAAACGGCGAGUCUUAACUUCUGAAUGAUCAGGAAAUUGUCUUCAACUGAGCGAAGUUCAACAUAGCUAAAUAUGUAAUUGAUCAGCUGCCCUAUGAUCUCUUUACACUACCUAUUUGUGUGACUGACUGACAAUCAAAAGCUAUUAGAAAAAUGACAAUGUCAUUUUGAGUUGCAUAUGAUAUUCAAUGUUAAUUUCAUGCUGUGUAAUUAUCUAAAUUGAAAAUAAACCUGACUUCUCAGGCUGUUAUCUAAAGUCUCUUUUAGAGAUGGCUGAGAGCAUAAUUGUUCAGA